rnacentral:rRNA from 1 species
UACGGAGGGUGCAAGCGUUAUCCGGAUUCACUGGGUUUAAAGGGUGCGUAGGUGGGCAAGUAAGUCAGUGGUGAAAUCUCCGGGCUUAACCCGGAAACUGCCAUUGAUACUAUUUGUCUUGAAUACUGUCGGAGGUCAGCGGAAUAUGUCAUGUAGCGGUGAAAUGCUUAGAUAUGACAUAGAACACCAAUUGCGAAGGCAGCUGGCUACACAAAUAUUGACACUGAGGCACGAAA